UACAGAGGGUGCGAGCGUUGUCCGGAAUCAUUGGGCGUAAAGGGCGCGUAGGCGGCCGAUCAAGUCGGGGGUGAAAGCCUGUGGCUCAACCACAGAAUUGCCUUCGAUACUGUUUGGCUUGAGACCGGAAGAGGUUAGUGGAACUGCGAGUGUAGAGGUGAAAUUCGUAGAUAUUCGCAAGAACACCAAUGGCGAAGGCAGCUGACUGGUCCGGUUCUGACGCUGAGGCGCGAAAGCGUGGGGAGCAAACAGG
rnacentral:rRNA from 1 species